UCAGGGUUUCUGUAAAGGUGUGUGUGUACAGGUGUGUCUCUGUAUGAGUGUGUGUCAGGGUUUCUCUAAAGGUGUGUGUGUCAGGGUCUCUGUUAAGGAGUGUGUGUCAGGGUCUCUGUUAAGGUGUGUGUGUGUGAGUGUGUGUCAGGGUCUCUGUUAAGGUGUGUGUGUCAGGGUCUCUGUUAAGGUGUGUGUGUGUACGAGUGUGUGUCAGGGUCUCUGUUAAGGUGUGUGUGUGUACGAGUGUGUGUCAGGGUCUCUGUUAAGGUGUGUGUGUCAGGGUCUCUGUUCAGGUGUGUGUGUGUACAGGUGUGUCUCUCUAAAGGUGUGUGUGUCAGGGUCUCUGUUCAGGUGUGUGUGUGUACAGGUGUGUCUCUCUAAAGGUGUGUGUGUCAGGGUCUCUGUUAAGGUGUGUGUGUGUACAGGCGUGUCUCUC